CAUUAAGGUAUUUCACAAUCCAUGAUCUCCUCUUUGGGAGAAAGAGAGAAACUCGGUCAUGGGGCCUGAGAGGGGAGAUGGUUGAGAACUGACUUUCUGUUCUCACUCAGCAAGAGAUUGCCAAAUGCAUGGAGGAUGUGCCAGUGCAGGUGGAGGGGUGUUAGUCUACUACCUUGCGCCUUCACUGCCCUGACUUGGAGCCCAGUACUCCCACCGUGGACUCGAUCUUUAGGUUAAGUCGUUGUCUUCAGCAAAGCCCUAAUUAAAGCAAGGUGGAGGUGGAAGAGAUGAUGAAUUUUGUGAGUCUUUGGCCCAUGGCAGCCUUGAAGAAUGUCUCCAUGACUUCCGUGCCGUGCUGGGUGGCAGCAUUUCCCAGGGGUACAGUCAUGUCUCUAGCCCUCAGUGUCUUGAUUCCUCCCAUUCCAUUCUCUCUCAAAGAUGCCUGGCAAAGUCCCGUGUGUUGCCCUGUUCUUUGGCCAACGUGGACUCCUUAUUUGCUGUCUCAUGGACUCAGCUUCUCGUUCCAACUCCAUGCUUCUGUUUGAGCACUGCACUUUGCCUUCCUUGCCGUCCCCCUCCUCUUCAUCUUGAGUGUAAUGAUAGUGAUCUGCAAGCCAGAAGGGGACAUCUAAAAAUCCCAUAAUAUCCUGAAACUCUUAAUGCACUUCUCUACAAAUAGUGGGUGGACAACAGAUAGCUGUGGGUGCAGGUUUGGGUGGGGUUUGUUGGAAAAGGUUCUAUCCACUUUGGUACAACCAAUUAGACUUUUGUAGCCUUAGGAUGCUGAGGACUUUCUCAGGGAUGGGCAAAGGUUUUAGGUGGCAGAGCUGACUUCUGCUGGUGGUGUGGAAUGGC
rnacentral:lncRNA from 10 species